UACGGAGGGUGCGAGCGUUUGUCCGGAAUCAUUGGGCGUAAAGGGCGCGUAGGCGGCCCGCUAAGUCGAACGUGAAAUCCCCAGGCUCAACCUGGGAACUGCGUCCGAUACUGGCAGGCUUGAAUCCGGGAGAGGGAUGUGGAAUUCCAGGUGUAGCGGUGAAAAUGCGUAGAUAUCUGGGAGGAACACCGGUGGCGAAGGCGGCAUCCUGGACCGGUAUUGACGCUGAGGGCGCGAAAAGCUAGGGG
rnacentral:rRNA from 1 species